rnacentral:rRNA from 1 species
UACGUAGGGUGCGAGCGUUAAUCGGAAUUACUGGGCGUAAAGCGUGCGCAGGCGGUUUUGUAAGCCAGAUGUGAAAUCCCCGGGCUUAACCUGGGAAUGGCAUUUGGGACUGCAAGGCUUGAGUGCGGCAGAGGGGACUGGAAUUCCUGGUGUAGCAGUGAAAUGCGUAGAGAUCAGGAGGAACACCGGUGGCGAAGGCGGAUCUCUGGGCCUUACCUGACGCUGAGGCGCGAAAGCUAGGGGAGCAAACAGG